GACGAACGCUGGCGGCGUGCCUAAUACAUGCAAGUAGAACGCUGAAGGAGGAGCUUGCUUCUCUGGAUGAGUUGCGAACGGGUGAGUAACGCGUAGGUAACCUGCCUGGUAGCGGGGGAUAACUAUUGGAAACGAUAGCUAAUACCGCAUAAUAGUAGAUGUUGCAUGACAUUUGCUUAAAAGGUGCAAUUGCCUCACUACCAGAUGGACCUGCGUUGUAUUAGCUAGUUGGUGGGGUAACGGCUCACCAAGGCGACGAUACAUAGCCGACCUGAGAGGGUGAUCGGCCACACUGGGACUGAGACACGGCCCAGACUCCUACGGGAGGCAGCAGUAGGGAAUCUUCGGCAAUGGACGGAAGUCUGACCGAGCAACGCCGCGGGAGUGAAGAAGGUUUUCGGAUCGUAAAGCUCUGUUGUAAGAGAAGAACGAGUGUGAGAGUGGAAAGUUCACACUGUGACGGUAGCUGACCAGAAAGGGACGGCUAACUACGUG
rnacentral:rRNA from 1 species